CAAGUCGCAGCGCCAGUCUGGCUCACAGCCAGUGUGGAAGCUCUGGGUGUGUUUCUCUGCAGCUCCUCCAGAGUUACUCUAUCCCUCCUGGCUCUCCUUGCUUGUUUGGGCCAUUUCAGUGGAUGCCCAUGUCUUGCUGUGAAAGAGCGUUAUGCAGCCCACAAGUGACCCACAAGUGCCCAAAAAUGAAUACAGUGUGCUAAUAGCUGUGAGAAGACACCCUGGGAGCAACCAUGAAAUAUGUGCAAGGACCCGUGACCACUGAGAUAAUAGCCCCUGACCAGACCACGGAUUGUCUGUCCACUCUCUCCUCCGCCGCUCUCCCGCUCAGGUUUGGAGUGGCUCAGGUCCAGGACAGAUGGUUUACAGACAAGGCACUAAAUACUAGCCACAGCAGGGCCGGUGCUGGCUAUUUCCUAGCAGGGAGUUUUGUUUGUGGGAGCUUUUUGUGUUCAUCUGACGAACCACAUCCAGGGCAGAAAGAAGAGAAGAUGGGGGCAGCUCUAAUUAAAGCCCAAGGAAGAGUGUCAUCUGCUGUGAACUCACAACCAGGGGGGCACAGCAAAUCAAUGGACAGCCAGCACUGUCAUCACCAUCAACAGCUCCCGAUCAGAGCAAUUGGAGGAGAACAAAAAGGAGCGAGAAAGACACUACCGGGGAAGCUUCUACCACCUGUGCAGAACCUAAGAGUGCUGAGGGGGAGAGAAAGAGGGAGCCGGGCACAGAGAUCCAUGAAAAACACAGACCGAAAUUGUGACGCCAUGGUUCAAUCUAUUGUGAAACACUGGAGAUUUAUCGUUUCUUAGUUAGGGUUAGCAAUUUUGCAAUCAUCACCGUGGACAUCUAUUUUGAUAAACAAAGGUGCAAUUCUAUGACCAGAAUGAUCUAAAGACCUUUUAAAAAUAUAGAUUUCUUUUUCUCCCUCUUGCUUUUGCUAUUGAAUCUAGCGGCUACAUAGAGAGAGAGAGUGCCAACGAUAAACGUUUCUUGCAACAAGAAAAAGUGUUUCCAGCGCAAAUUUAGAGUAUUGAACUCUGCAAGUGGUAUCAGUGCUCUCCUGUCUGUGUGAACUGUGCCUCCGGGCCAGAGAGUUGAGGUGCGCUGGAUCAGAUUCUUACACAAACAUGGCCACAUAGACGGCAUGUUCUUGUGGCAUUAGCAUUCCAAAUGUUUUUUCGAGACGAACGUGAAUGCGACUAUUUUUGUCUCAUAACGCGCACUCUCAGAUAGCCCCUUUUGAAUAAAUGAAUUCUGACAAGGGGAAUCUGCAUACAAAAACACAGCAGGUUUUAAGGCAGCGGCUGGUCGACCAGCGAAGACCUCUGAAGUCCUCUCUGAAUCUCUUCAUUCAUCGCCUGCUCCUUACAGGCCUGCGACUCUUUAAAUGGCCGCCUGUGUUUGUGCUGUGUUCACACUGGCGGUUAGAGAGGCAGCGAGGCAUACACCAACACAUUAAGUCCUCUGUGUUUGUGGUUGGCACCUGCAAAUCCUUUUACUUGCCUUAAUGUCAUGCAGAAAUGUGUUGAAUUUAAAAUGUGUUCUUAAAGGAAGCUGGAGUGUGAUUCUGUGAACAAAAUAGGAAAAAGCAGCGUAUUUGUUUUUGCCUUCAGGUAGGCACACAUUUAUUGGUCUUUGUGUCAGAAAUUCAGACACCUGAACUGUUAGACCAAACCGUUUCUAAGAGCUCUAAACUUUCUACACUUUUAUCUUGCAGGGUCAAAAACUAUUUGAUAUGUGUUUUGUUUUGCUGUCAAGUUCUAGUCAAUCCCAAUGUGCUGAGUUAACCUAAAAACAGGGUUAGAGUGACCAGUGUGUCACACUGAGGCAGCCAAAGAGUGGCCUAAAAUGAC